GAGUUUGAUCAUGGCUCAGAUUGAACGCUGGCGGCAUGCCUUACACAUGCAAGUCGAACGGCAGCACGGGAGCUUGCUCCUGGUGGCGAGUGGCGAACGGGUGAGUAAUGCAUCGGAACGUAUCCUGGAGUGGGGGGAUAACGUAGCGAAAGUUACGCUAAUACCGCAUAUUCUGUGAGCAGGAAAGCGGGGGACCUUCGGGCCUCGCGCUCUUGGAGCGGCCGAUGUCGGAUUAGCUAGUUGGUGAGGUAAAGGCUCACCAAGGCGACGAUCCGUAGCAGGUCUGAGAGGAUGAUCUGCCACACUGGAACUGAGACACGGUCCAGACUCCUACGGGAGGCAGCAGUGGGGAAUUUUGGACAAUGGGGGCAACCCUGAUCCAGCCAUGCCGCGUGAGUAGAAGG
rnacentral:rRNA from 1 species